rnacentral:lncRNA from 1 species
ACGUGGCAGGUGACCAGCAGCAGUGCAGCCUGCUGUGCAGGGCUCCGGUGGCCUGUGCUUCCCCACCGUGACCCCACCACUGCCUUCACAGCUGUCCCAGGAGUCCCAGGCUUGAAGACACAGCCAACCGCAGGCAUGUCAGAGCUGUCCCUGCAUCUGCUUCCCUGUGGGCUCACUUUAGCCCUUACCCUGCACCCGGAGCUGUGUAUUUCAAGGUGCCGAGGUGGGGUGGAGCUUGGCAUGGGUGUCAGGCACAUGCCUGGUCACAGUAGGUAACCAGCUCCUGUGCACCGGGGGCCAACCUCAAGUGCAAGUCUGACUUCUCUGGAGGCAGGUGAAGCUGUGUGAAGUUGCCACUGGGGGUGUAGAUGGUGCACACACGGCAGUGGGUCCCCAGCGGCCUGCUGUCACUGCUCCACCUCGGGCCAGCUGCACCUUGCCUGGCUCCUCCACGUGCUCCUGGAGCAGCAGGACGCGCAGCACACACUGGCCGUGGGAAUGGCCCAGGCCAAGUGUGCAGAUAACCAGUCGUGAUGGUCACUUUAAUGAUGUCAUUCUUUGUCCCAAGAGGACAGGAUCUGGGUUAAGUGAGCACUCUGAUCCUGCUGUUUUGCUUGCGGAUCCCUUCCAGGAAUCAGGACCCAUCUGGAGGCAGGGC